GAAGAAAUGGCUUGAACCGAGUGUCAGAGGUUCGGUAGCGAGGGAUCAUUGCCAUGGCACUACACCCUGGACAACAGAGUGAAAGUCAGUUUCAAGGAAAGAAACGGUAUACUAGUACAUUUCAUAUAAACAGGUAUAAAAAGCACAAUAUAAAUAUAUAACUAUCAAUAACUAUUAGGAAUGACCAGUAAAUUAAUCUUACUAAGUUGGCGGAAGAAGUCCGGAAGUGCGGCCCUUGCUGCCGAUCCACCGACGGUCCACCAUGACGUCACCGACGAUCCAACCGAUGACGUCCACGACGAUCCACCAUGAAGUCACUUAACGAUCCACGACGAGAUGGCUACUGCCUUAGGAGGCAGGUUUCUUUUAGGGCUUGUCUCUCUAUCGCUCCACCUUCAACGUUCCAGUUCAGUUGUCACAGAAACGGUACACAAGGAUAACCGCUACUCCCCACUUCCGGUAAGUUGGCGGAAGAAGUCCGGAAGUGCGGCCCUUGCUGCCGAUCCACCGACGGUCCACCACGACGUCACCGACGAUCCACAUGACGUCACCGACGAUCCACCAUGAAGCAUCACUUUAACGAUCCCGGACAGAGAGGCUUACUGCCUUAGGGCAGGUUUCUUUUAGGGCUUGUCUCUCUAUCGCUCCACCUUCAACGUUCCAGUUCAGUUGUCACAGAAACGGUACACAAGGAUAACCGCUACUCCCCCACUUCCGGGUAAGUGCUAAGCGCGUGACACCCCGGGCCUUCGUUCCUUAUUGGUGCGAGGAUCAGUGCUUGGAACGCUGAAUCUCACUUCUUUACUUCUUGUUUGUUUUUCUUUUUUUUUUUUAGUUGGAAGAGGGUUUCGCUCUUGUUACC
rnacentral:lncRNA from 1 species